rnacentral:rRNA from 1 species
AUGACCCCGUUUCAAGCUCUGUAUGCAAGACCUCCUCCCCUAAUUGCAAAAAUGAUGUUACCACUAGUGGAAGGAGAAGAUCACCAAGCUCAAUUGGACAGGGACACAAUAGCCCAACAGAUUAAGGACAACUUGCUCAAAGCACAAGAAAGAAUGAAGUUCUUUGGAGACAAGAAGAGAUCAGAGAGACAACUUGCAGUUGGAGAUAUGGUCUAUGUCAAACUGCAACCAUACAGACACACCAGUUUGAGUAUACACAGACAUUUGAAACUUCAUUCCAAGUACUAUGGGCCUUUCAGAGUCAUGGAGAGAAUUGGAGUUGUGGCUUAUCGGCUCCUCCUGCUUGAGGGCUAUCAACUUCAUCCCACCUUCCAUGUCAGCCAACUCAAAAAGCACAUUGGUCCUGAGGCCGUACCUAAUCCAACAUUGCCACUCUUGGAUGAACACGGUCACAUCCUCAUUCAGCCGAAAACACUGCUUGAAAGAAGAUUGAUCCCACGAGUCCAGGGUGACAUUAGCAUUCCUGUUGUGCAGUGGUGUAUCAAAUGGAUCAACCUACCCAUGGAGAACGUAACUUGGGAAGAUGCGGCUUUUAUACAAAAAAAAUUUCUUGAAUUCCAUCCUUGA